rnacentral:rRNA from 1 species
AGUGAACGCUGGCGGUAGGCCUAACACAUGCAAGUCGAACGGCAGCACAGUAAGAGCUUGCUCUUACGGGUGGCGAGUGGCGGACGGGUGAGGAAUACAGCGGAAUCUACUUUUUCGUGGGGGAUAACGUAGGGAAACUUACGCUAAUACCGCAUACGACCUACGGGUGAAAGCAGGGGAUCUUCGGACCUUGCGCGAUUGAAUGAGCCGAUGUCGGAUUAGCUAGUUGGCGGGGUAAAGGCCCACCAAGGCGACGAUCCGUAGCUGGUCUGAGAGGGUGAGCAGCCACACUGGAGCUGAGACACGGUCCAGACUCGUACGAGAGGCAGCAGUGGGGAAUAUUGGACAAUGGGCGCAAGCCUGAUCCAGCCAUACCGCGUGGGUGAAGAAGGCCUUCGGGUGGUAAAGCCCUUUUGUGGGGAAAGAAAAGCAGCAGGUUAAUACCCCGCUGUUCGGACGGUACCCAAAGAAUAAACACCGGCUAACUUCGU